GGUUUCGUAGACAUAAAUGAUAAUUCAACAUUUUCGAUUUAUAUUUUUCUUUAUUUCAUAUUCUAGUAUAUUUAAUAACAUGUUUAUAUUUUGUGAUGCAUCUGAUGUAUAAAUCCAGUGGCAGAUCCGGGAAAGAGCUCUUAGUUCCGAUCCGUUUGUACGGGGAACAUGUGGUUGCAACCCCCUCUUUAAUUGCCUGUUCGAUUUUUUGUUUGCAGUGUCGAAAAGGGAGAUAGACAGCAGUUUUAUCAAGAAGUUAUGUGAAAGUUCUGCUAUACAUCUGACAGUCAGGAAUUAUUCUGAAGUACACAUGUCGACCAGAGGCAUGGAACAGAGAGGAGAGGUUUUAAAGUACCAGAUGCUUAUCUGAGAUUCCAAUUUGAACUAAAGAAAGCAAUAUAUAAAGAUAUGUAGGAGAAAUAAUCUAUAUGAAUAAAGUUAUGCCACAAAAGGAACUUGUUUUUUUUAUAUACAGAAUUUGUCAAACGUAUCCAUAACAGAAGAGAUGUGAAUGCAUCCUUCAUAGUCUUGUAAUACUGAUGGUAAUAAUUUAUAUAAUUUCUGAGAUGAUAUAGCAGUGCCA
rnacentral:lncRNA from 1 species